UUUUUUUUUUUUUUUUUGAAACAUUAAGAGAUUUGUAUUGAUUGUACAACAGUUUACAUUGGUGACCAAAUGGUCGAUCAAAACUAUAUAAAGGUGUUUAAUGACACGUAGAAUUUAAGUCUAAAGCAUAAUUACUAAUUGAGUAAAUCUUAUAUACAUUGACAGUACAUACACUAUCACCGUUAGAUCCACGACACCUAUGCAAAAAUUUGAAUUUCAAAUUCAAAUUUUGCAUAAUUAUCUUUCAUCCAACAUUGAUAGUGUAUACACUGUCAGUAUAGGAAAUAUUAAUCCUUACUAAUUUUAUGGCUAAUUAUAUUUCUAUCUUCUCUAACUAAACAGAAAGACGACAUUUGAAACAACACUUUCAAACUUUUGAUGUCUUCCACCACUCGUAGCCAACCUACUGUGCUAGUUCCAAAAGUUCCUUGUUUCUGGAUUUGAAUGUUAAUUUUCCUCCACUGCUGCUUUGCACAUUGCCAGUUUGGCAGCAACCGCAUCAUCUACGCUCUUGCAUCCAGAAGUCCUUUCUUUCAAUGCCUAGCAAUUUUUCCAUUGUUGUAACUCCUAUCCCCAUGAAGAGAGAAGAGAGGGAGGGGGCAGAGGGGGGGGGGGGGUAUCUUUGCUGACCUUGAGUUGCAAUCCUUAAUAUUAUGGUUCCUUCUGGGUCCGGUUCCUACCGGUGCCAUUCCUGAGGUAAUGCUGUUUCAGUUGUGCUCAAUCUAUUUCUUUGUCAUUGCUUCCUCUUGUUCCAGCCAUUCUCUUUGAGCUUUUCGGAUGAUUCUUAAUGGCUGGUGGGAGUGCUGAUCACCAAACUCCCUCCUAUUUUUAUUCUUCCAUAUUUGCCACAAAAUAUUUGCAGUUAGACCAAUGCGAUCUUUGCUGCCUGUCUGCUCCUUGCUUCAGUACUUCCUCAUCUAGGGACUUACUUCGUCCGUCUCUUAUUCUUGAUUUUGGUAAUAAUUUUUUUUUAUUUUUGGGAUUUUUUUGGACCAUUAAAUUUAUAGAAAAUUCAAUUAGUGUUCAUGUUAUCAACCAUGUCCAAAAAAUAGAAUUGAAAAAACAACAGGAUAAGCUAUUGUGACGAACUAAAAUACAUGUGAAGUACAAGAAAGUCAAUACAUGGUAACCCUUUGAAUACAGUUGGACCACCACAGCGUUCUAAGUUUGUCAACAAAGAUUUGCAAAGUCUCUCUUUUGAAAAUUACAAAAAUACGAAAAUAUUAAAAGCAUCUUCUGUUACUGGAGAAUGGAAACCAUAGAGCCAGUCAAAUACAAGUCAAGUCCAUAAAUUUGCAUCUUGAACUAUACUGCUGAGGACUGUGAGCUCAAAGCCAUAUGAAGCACUAGAAUUAAAUGCCGCAGAAUAGGUAAAGAUGCAUGUUUUCUGCAGUAACUAUUGUACGUGUUAUUCAGAUCCAUUGUGCUUAGCACAUGCACAAGACAGUAUUGAGAGAUUCUGGACGUAUAUAUGUACAUGCAUGCUUUACUUUGAGAAUUUUAAGGCUUAAAUUACAAUUCCAUAUACACAUAAAUGACAAUGAAUUUGGGUUUCAGGUAAGCUAUAAAU
rnacentral:lncRNA from 1 species